rnacentral:rRNA from 1 species
UACGUAGGGGGCUAGCGUUGUCCGGAUUUAUUGGGCGUAAAGAGCGUGUAGGCGGCCAGGUAGGUCUGCUGUGAAAACUCGAGGCUCAACCUCGAGACGUCGGCGGAAACCAUCUGGCUUGAGUCCGGGAGAGGUGAGUGGAACUGCGAGUGUAGAGGUGAAAUUCGUAGAUAUUCGCAAGAACACCAGUGGCGAAGGCGGCUCACUGGCCCGGUACUGACGCUGAGGCACGAAAGCGUGGGGAGCAAACAGG